CUACGGGGCGCAGCAGUGGGGAAUAUUGCACAAUGGAGGAAACUCUGAUGCAGCAACGCCGCGUGGAGGAUGACACUUUUCGGAGCGUAAACUCCUUUUAUAUAGGAAGAAGAUGACGGUACUAUAUGAAUAAGCGCCGGCUAACUCCGUGCCAGCAGCCGCGGUAAUACGGAGGGCGCAAGCGUUACUCGGGAUCACUGGGCGUAAAGAGCGUGUAGGCGGAUUAAAAAGUCAGAAGUGAAAUCCUAUAGCUUAACUAUAGAACUGCUUCUGAAACUCUUAAUCUAGAAUAUGGGAGAGGUAGAUGGAAUUUCUGGCGUAGGGGUAAAAUCCGUAGAGAUCAGAAGGAAUACCGAUUGCGAAGGCGAUCUACUAGAACAUUAUUGACGCUGAGACGCGAAAGCGUGGGGAGCAAACAGGAUUAGAUACCCCUGUAGUC
rnacentral:rRNA from 1 species